rnacentral:rRNA from 1 species
GACAGAGGGUGCAAACGUUGUUCGGAUUUACUGGGCGUAAAGGGCGCGUAGGCGGUCAGCACAAGUCAGUUGUGAAAUCUCCGGGCUUAACUCGGAAAGGUCAACUGAUACUGUGCGACUAGAGUGCGGAAGGGGCAACUGGAAUUCUCGGUGUAGCGGUGAAAUGCGUAGAUAUCGGGAGGAACACCUGAGGCGAAGGCGGGCUACUGGGCCGAUACUGACGCUGAUGUGCGAAAGCCAGGGGAGCGAACGGG